rnacentral:rRNA from 1 species
CUACGGGAGGCUCCAGUGGGGAAUAUUGCACAAUGGAGGAAACUCUGAUGCAGCAACGCCGCGUGGAGGAUGACACUUUUCGGAGCGUAAACUCCUUUUAUAUAGGAAGAAGAUGACGGUACUAUAUGAAUAAGCGCCGGCUAACUCCGUGCCAGCAGCCGCGGUAAUACGGAGGGCGCAAGCGUUACUCGGAAUCACGUGGCGUAAAGAGCGUGUAGGCGGAUUAAAAAGUCAGAAGUGAAAUCCUAUAGCUUAACUAUAGAACUGCUUCUGAAACUCUUAAUCUAGAAUAUGGGAGAGGUAGAUGGAAUUUCUGGUGUAGGGGUAAAAUCCGUAGAGAUCAGAAGGAAUACCGAUUGCGAAGGCGAUCUACUAGAACAUUAUUGACGCUGAGACGCGAAAGCGUGGGGAGCAAACAGGAUUAGAUACCCCCGUAGUC